UUGAUUGAAUAAGAAAAAAAAAAAAAAAAAAAAAAAAAAAA
rnacentral:ribozyme from 1 species